UACGGAGGGUGCGAGCGUUGUCCGGAAUCACUGGGCGUAAAGGGCGCGUAGGCGGCGAGGAUAGUCAACGGUGAAAGCUUGGGGCUCAACCCCGAGUCGGCCGUCGAUACUUCCUUGCUUGAGCACUGUAGAGGCAGAUGGAAUUCCAGGUGUAGUGGUGAAAUACGUAGAUAUCUGGAGGAACACCGGCGGCGAAGGCGGCGACCUGGUCCAAUAUUGACACUCAUACACGAAAGCGUGGGGAUCAAACAGG
rnacentral:rRNA from 1 species